rnacentral:rRNA from 1 species
CGUGACUGGUGAGUAACACGUGGAUAACCUACCUAUAAGACUGGGAUAACUUCGGGAAACCGGAGCUAAUACCGGAUAAUAUAUUUAACCGCAUGGUUCAAUAGUGAAAGACGGUUUUGCUGUCACUUAUAGAUGGAUCCGCGCCGCAUUAGCUAGUUGGUAAGGUAACGGCUUACCAAGGCAACGAUGCGUAGCCGACCUGAGAGGGUGAUCGGCCACACUGGAACUGAGACACGGUCCAG